CCUACGGGAGACUGCAGUAGGGAAUAUUGCUCAAUGGGGGAAACCCUGAAGCAGCAACGCCGCGUGGAGGAUGAAGGUUUUAGGAUUGUAAACUCCUUUUGUUAGAGAAGAUAAUGACGGUAUCUAACGAAUAAGCACCGGCUAACUCCGUGCCAGCAGCCGCGGUAAUACGGAGGGUGCAAGCGUUACUCGGAAUCACUGGGCGUAAAGAGUGCGUAGGCGGGAUAGCAAGUCAGAUGGGGAAUCCUAUGGCUUAACCAUAGAACUGCAUUUGGAACUGUUGUUCUAGAGUUGGGGGGGGGGAAGUUGAAUUGUUGGGGUGAGGGGUAAAACCGUAGGAAACAAGGAGGAAAC
rnacentral:rRNA from 1 species